rnacentral:lncRNA from 1 species
CGGCCGCGGUGAUCCCGCCGUCGGGCUUGGACGAUGGGGUGUCUCGGGCUCGCGGGGAAGGCGCUGGGGAGGCGGUGGUGGAGCGCGGGCCGGGAGCGGCCUACCACAUGUUCGUGGUGAUGGAAGACUUAGUGGAGAAGCUGAAGCUGCUCCGCUACGAGGAGGAGCUACUCCGAAAGAGCAAUCUGAAGCCCCCGUCCAGGCCAUCAUACCCAGUGGAAGAGUUAGAAGAAGAAACUGUUCCGGAAGAUGAUGCGGAGUU